ensembl:lncRNA
GCCAUAUUCCACUUUGUGUGCCUGAUUCCAUAUGUGCGGUUAGCUUUCCCCAAUCACACUACAUUUUACUGCAGUGAUGGAAAGUGCAGUUAUUUCCACUCAGUGCCUAGCCCGGUGUUUAAGACUCUGAGGGACAGAUGUACUAACACUUUAGCGCCCAUUUUAGGUGUUAUUUUGUGCACUUCUGACAGACAGGGGGAGAAAGAUGUUAUUUUUCAUGAAAUACAGACUGAGUCGUCUGCAAAGGGCAUCUGAUCUUGGCUCUGUAAAGCGCCUUGGGACAAUUUUAUUGUUUUGGUGCUAUAUAAAUAGAAUUGAAUUGAAUUUAAUUGAAUUUAAUUGAAUCUGGUAACAGGGCAGUGAUCUAGUCAGGAGGGCUAACAGUGAGGUGAUCAGCCAGACACUCAGUGGUCCAGCAGGUGUCGGCCCGCGUCAGAGUCAAAGUCAAAAGUACUGAUAGAAAUAGCAGACAAUUUUGAUCUACAUAGAUGGCCUUCCAUACAACAGCUGUUGAAAUCCGCUAGAAUUCUCCGUUAACAAACUCCUGUUAACAAGGUGUGAUAUAUUGCUGUGCAUGACAUGACUGACUGUAUUGUUUAUUUUUAACACGAUCCUGUAGGCAACACAAUCAUCAAUGUUUCUUUAAAGGUAUAUUUGAUGAUAACUCAAGCAUAUGAAAAUCUUUUCGUGGUUUGACUGUUUUUUUCGUUCAUAAACCGCUACAUCUUAUUUUAAAUCGUAGGUUGACAGAAGUGAACUAAGCAUAGGAAGAAAGGGGAGGGCAUUUUCACCUUGGGUUUUACCUCACGCAUUCCGAGACCUUUGCCUAUGGGCUCCAAAAGGACGUGUCACGCUUUAUAACCAUAAACAGAAGAGCCAUCUCUAAAAAGACCUCCACCUACAGUAGGACACUCUUGUGUUUCCCCACUCAUCGUCCCUCGUCUCCUCUGGCAGCAAUUAGAGGAAUGACACACUCUCCAUGACGUCACACUUCACCCAAUCUCUGGGGCAUGAGCUGGAGGACUGAGCAGCGAGGACAGAGAGAGCAGUUUGAGAUAUACCUGACAUUUUUCCCUCCUCCUUCCCUCCUUCUCUCCU